rnacentral:rRNA from 1 species
CAAACCCAGGCUAAUACCGCUUACGUCCUACGGGAGAGAGGGGGCUUCGGCUCCUGCUAUUGGAUGAGCCUAUGUCGGAUUACCUAGUUGGCCGAGAGUAACGGCUCACCAAGGCGACGAUCCGUAGCUGGUCUGAGAGGAUGAUCAGCCACAUCGGGACUGAGACACGGCCCGAACUCAUACGGGCAGGCUGCAGUGGGGAAUAUCUGGACAAUAGGGGGCAACCCUGAUCCAGAANCAAACUCUAAUGUGAAGAAGGCCCUCGGGUUGUAAAGCACUUUCAGCGAGGAAGAACGCCUGUCGGUUAAUACCCGCCAGGAACGACAUCUAUCGCAGAAGAAGCACCGGCUAACUCCGUGCCAGCAGCCGCGGUAAUACGGAGGGUGCAAGCGUUAAUCGGAAUUACUGGGCGUAAAGCGCGCGUAGGUGGCUUGAUAAGCCGGUUGUGAAAGCCCCGGGCUCAACCUGGGAACGGCAUCCGGAACUGUCAGGCUAGAGUGCAGGAGAGGAAGGUAGAAUUCCCGGUGUAGCGGUGAAAUGCGUAGAGAUCGGGAGGAAUACCAGUGGCGAAGGCGGCCUUCUGGACUGACACUGACACUGAGGUGCGAAAGCGUGGGUAGCAAACAGGAUUAGAUACCCUGGUAGUCCACGCCGUAAACGAUGUCGACCAGCCGUUGGGUGCCUAGAGCACUUUGUGGCGAAGUUAACGCGAUAAGUCGACCGCCUGGGGAGUACGGCCGCAAGGUUAAAACUCAAAUGAAUUGACGGGGGCCCGCACAAGCGGUGGAGCAUGUGGUUAAUUCGAUGCAACGCGAAGAACCUUACCUACCCUUGACAUCCUGCGAAUUUGGUAGAGAUWCCUUAGUGCCUUCGGGAACGCAGAGACAGGUGCUGCAUGGCUGUCGUCAGCUCGUGUUGUGAAAUGUUGGGUUAAGUCCCGUAACGAGCGCAACCCUUGUCCUUAUUUGCCAGCGCGUAAUGGUGGGAACUCUAAGGAGACUGCCGGUGACAAACCGUUGGAAGGUGGGGACGACGUCAAGUCAUCAUGGCCCUUACGGGUAGGGCUACACACGUGCUACAAUGGCCGGUACAAAGGGCUGCGAGCUCGCGAGAGUCAGCGAAUCCCUUAAAGCCGGUCUCAGUCCGGAUCGGAGUCUGCAACUCGACUCCGUGAAGUCGGAAUCGCUAGUAAUCGUGAAUCAGAAUGUCACGGUGAAUACGUUGCCCGGGCCUUGUAC